CUCAGGCCUGGACCAUCACUGUUGCCCAUCCCAUGCCAUCAACAGGUUUGCCCCAUCCCUUCGGCUCCCUACCAGGGCAUUCAGUUGUGUUGAGCAGCAGAGUGUCUCCAAGUCCCCACUGGUUGAGCUGCAUCCGGGUCCCAUCCCACAGGGACCCCCCCUGGCCGCUGCAGGUGCAUGCUGAUCCUGCAGCUCCUCAAGGGUGUCAUCGCUUUCCCCCUUCCCAGACCCAGCACACGCUGCCUGCAUGGCGCUGUGCUGCACCUUCACUCUGGUCACGGGUCUGGCAGUCGGCUCACCAAUUCCUCCCGCUUCCCUGGGACUCGCCGGCUUUUAGCACUGCAAUUCACUCAGCAAACUGGGACUGUUGGUCACCCUACCUGGCAGCCAGUGAUAAGGUGAGGGCCACUCCUGGGAGGGAGGACACCUGUGGGGAAAAUUCUUGUUAUUUAUUUCUCCUUCAGGAUAGGGUGCCUGCAGCGCUUCAUGGGAGGGGGUGGGCUGAUGCUGCGGACUCAGAAGUUUCAAGGGCAUCUGGGGAGACCAGAUAUUCAGAGACCUUCUCCUAGAUGUGCCUGUUCCAUGUAUCAGGGACGCAGGUUUUCCCAACAGGGCUGGUGUCAUUGGCAUGACAGACCUGCCUUGGCUGAGCAUUCACCCGUCUUUGGAGUUCAGCCACCUUAGCAAGUCCUGGGUUUGUUCUUCAGACUUUGCUGCUCGCCCAUUGCCUGGAUCGGGGGCUACUUUGUAAACCACCAGGAAGACUCCAGUGUUUCUGCUUAAUUUUUAGAUGUUUGUUAAUUGCUCUUGGUCUCUCAUUAAUCCCCUGUGGGUCAUCCAGGAAACAUACUCACCACUGUCUGUUCUCUGAGUUUUCAUUUCCAGGCAUCCGCCCUGCCUGGAUCUCCUCACCUGCCAGGAACUUCCUCUCCACAAGCCGGCCAUCCCAGCAAAAGUUCUAACACCAAAGGUCUGGCAACUAGCCUGCCAUCUUGUGCCUGGAGCCGCCUGCGUGCCACCUACUCCCGAAGAUGGGAACCUUGUUGCCAGUCGGGCAGAUGCGGGGCAAUCCUGUACCAAGACCCCAUUUUACCACCUGCUUUCUCAGACCACUCUGGAACCCACUGUCUCAGAUUGUGUCCUCCAGGAAGCAGACCAUGAGAGGGAGUUGGCAGGGCCAAAGAUUUACUGGGGCUAACUAACACUCAGGAAAGGGAUAGGAAGGAAACAGGGCUGGAGAGCAGGUUGAGCCCGACCUGACAGUCUCGAGCAGCCCAACAGGGAGGUGUGGAGCAAGGGUUGCCCACUAGAGGGGCCUGCAUUGGGUACGGGUGAUGGGGUCCACAUGGUACCUGGCAUAUAGCAGGCUGUGCAAUCCAUAUUAACUGACUGGAUAAAUUAAUGCCCAGAAAAGGUGCCCUGGAGAAUGGGUGUGUGCUGAACACAAUAGGGAAGGGCCCAGCAUCUGCCUUGGCAUAGGCAGAACUGUGCUGUGCCCUGCAACAGGCCACCUGAGAGCUGCUUUGAUCUUGUGUGUGCAUUAGACGACUGCCAGGGGCAUGAAGGGGAUGUGCUUCCAGGGCAUUUGCUGGCAGGGCGUCUCGUGAUCUCUUGGUAUUGGUGUGAGCACAGCCUGGCAGGAGAGGGCAGAUCUCCGUGCAAAGUACGUCAGAAAGCAGAUGGAAGCCAGGCCCCCUCCUGAAAGAGGCUCCUUGAAGGCUCCUGGGACCACAUUAUCAUUCUCUUCACUCGAGAGAUGAGGACACUGAAAUUCAGAGAGGGGAAGUGAUUUGCCUCAGCUUGUACUGGUUUCACUUUGUCACUCAGGCUGGAGUGCAGUGAUGUGAUCAUAGCUUUCUGCAGCCUUGACUUCCGGGCUCAAGUGAUCCUCCCACCUCCGCCUCCUUAGUAGCUAGGACCACAGGCAUGCACCAGCACACCCAGCAAAUUAAAAAAAAAUUUUUUUUAAAGAUGAGAUCUCACUAUGUUGCCCAGGCUGGUCUGAAAUUCCUGUCCUCAAGCAAUCCUCCUGCCUUAGCCUCCCAAAGUGCUGAGAUUACAGGCAUGAGCUACCAUGCCUGGCCUAAAACAUUUUUAAUGGAAGUAUAAUUUGCAAACAGAAAACAUGCCCAAAUAUUAAGUGAAUGCACUGAUGAACAUUCACAACUUAACAAGAUAGCCAGCACUUAAAUCACAAAAUAGAACACCGCUAGGACCUCUUUGUAAUACCCUCCAAGUCACUACUUCUGCCCAAAGGUAAUCGCUAUUUUGCAACAUUUUUUAUUACUUUAUAUAAAUGGGAUCGUACACUAUGUAAUCUUAUUACUGUCUGGAUUUUUAUAUUAAAUAUUGCUUGUGAGAUUC
rnacentral:antisense_RNA from 1 species